rnacentral:tRNA from 1 species
GAGGGUAUAGCUCAGUGGUAGGGUGCAUGCUUAGCAUACACAAGGUCCUGGAUUCAAUUCCCUGUACUUCCA